rnacentral:rRNA from 1 species
GUGGGGAAUAUUGGACAAUGGGCGAAAGCCUGAUCCAGCCAUGCCGCGUGUGUGAAGAAGGUCUUCGGAUUGUAAAGCACUUUAAGUUGGGAGGAAGGGCAGUAAGUUAAUACCUUGCUGUUUUGACGUUACCGACAGAAUAAGCACCGGCUAACUUCGUGCCAGCAGCCGCGGUAAUACGAAGGGUGCAAGCGUUAAUCGGAAUUACUGGGCGUAAAGCGCGCGUAGGUGGUUCAGCAAGUUGGAGGUGAAAUCCCCGGGCUCAACCUGGGAACUGCCUCUAAAACUACUGGGCUAGAGUACGGUAGAGGGUAGUGGAAUUUCCUGUGUAGCGGUGAAAUGCGUAGAUAUAGGAAGGAACACCAGUGGCGAAGGCGACUACCUGGACUGAUACUGACACUGAGGUGCGAAAGCGUGGGGAGCAAACAGGAUUAGAAACCCUUGUAGUCC